rnacentral:rRNA from 1 species
CCUACGUGGGGCAGCAGUGAGGAAUAUUGGUCAAUGGGCGCGAGCCUGAACCAGCCAAGUAGCGUGAAGGAUGACUGCCCUACGGGUUGUAAACUUCUUUUAUAAAAGAAUAAAGUGAGGCACGUGUGCCUUUUUGUAUGUACUUUAUGAAUAAGGAUCGGCUAACUCCGUGCCAGCAGCCGCGGUAAUACGGAGGAUCCGAGCGUUAUCCGGAUUUAUUGGGUUUAAAGGAAGCGUAGAUGGGUUGUUAAGUCAGUUGUGAAAGUUUGCGGCUCAACCGUAAAAUUGCAAUUGAUACUGGCAGUCUUGAGGACAGUUGAGGUAGGCGGAAUUCGUGGUGUAGCGGUGAAAUGCUUAGAUAUCACGAAGAACUCCGAUUGCGAAGGCAGCUUACUAAACUGCCACUGACAUUGAUGCUCGAAAGUGUGGGUAUCAAACAGGAUUAGAUACCCCAGUAGUC